CGAGAUUCUGGGGGCCACCACGCACCUGUGUGCACAGAACAGGGUGCGUGGUGGUCCUUAGAAUCUCUGC
ensembl:miRNA